rnacentral:rRNA from 1 species
AUGAACGUCGCACUCAUGUUGCAACGGGUUUGGCGGAUCCUACGCGGUGAGGGCAGCCUAUGGUUACAACUCAUCCAGGCAAAAUACCUUAGGGGUGAGCCUCUCCUGGCAUGCUCCCGGCCGGGAGGAUCACAAUUCUGGCGCUCCAUCCAAAGGAUCAAGGAGGACAUCCGUCUAGGGAUUUCCUUCUCCAUAGGGAACGGGGACGGGACCCAAUUUUGGCUGGACCCUUGGCUGGGUACCGAGCCACUGCGCGUGAGUUUCCUUGGCAUGUUUUUGAUCUGUGUGGACCCUUCAUUACUUGUUUCCAUGGCCUUCUGAUCUGGACAGUGAAGUAUCUUAUUCCGUCGUACUUUUGGAAAAGUAGAGAGUGACGACUAGACUAUACUACGGGCGGCCCUUCCACUGGUGCUACCGGACUAUCCAGACAAUGUGUCGUGGCGGCUUGCUCCGACGGCAGAAUUUUCGGUGUGCACGGCUUACCAUGCUCUUUGCCUGCCACCUACCACCCCUUGGCUUACACCGUUGUGGAAAGCCCCCCUACCCCUAAAGAUUAAGAUCUUCGUGUGA